rnacentral:rRNA from 1 species
UACGUAGGUGACCAGCGUUGUCCGGAUUUAUUGGGCGUAAAGAGCUCGUAGGCGGCUUGUCGCGUCGAAUGUGAAAUCUCAGGGCUCAACCCUGACAUUGCAUUCGAUACGGGCAGGCUAGAGUUCGGUAGGGGAGACUGGAAUUCCUGGUGUAGCGGUGAAAUGCGCAGAUAUCAGGAGGAACACCGGUGGCGAAGGCGGGUCUCUGGGCCGAUACUGACGCUGAGGAGCGAAAGCGUGGGGAGCGAACAGG